rnacentral:lncRNA from 1 species
GAGCAUCUGCUGAUGCCAAAGAAUGGGGCGUACGCAAGUAUGCCACUGCACAUGAACCAUGUUCUCUUGGGCCAGUUACCCUGUGCAGCAUGCCUGCAGGUCGUGCUAGCCCAACAGAAAUAAGUUAUGCCAAGGGGCCCUCGCGGAAGCCCACUGGGUCAUGGGCCCAGGAAAAGGAAUUUAUUUCUUGGGCUAUUAUAAUUGGAAAGGAUGGGCUUUGGGGAAGAAUUUGUAAAAAAAAA